rnacentral:tRNA from 8 species
GCCAGUAUAGCUCAGUUGGUAGAGCAGCGCACUCGUAACGCGAAGGUCGUAGGUUCGAUUCCUAUUACUGGCACCA